rnacentral:rRNA from 1 species
AUUGAACGCUGGCGGCAUGCCUUACACAUGCAAGUCGAACGGCAGCAUGGAGAGCUUGCUCUCUGAUGGCGAGUGGCGAACGGGUGAGUAAAGCAUCGGAACGUACCGUGUAGUGGGGGAUAACGUAGCGAAAGUUACGCUAAUACCGCAUACGCACUGAGGUGGAAAGCAGGGGAUCGUAAGGCCUUGCGCUAUGCGAGCGGCCGAUGUCAGAUUAGCUAGUUGGUAGGGUAAAGGCCUACCAAGGCGACGAUCUGUAGCGGGUCUGAGAGGAUGAUCCGCCACACUGGGACUGAGACACGGCCCAGACUCCUACGGGAGGCAGCAGUGGGGAAUUUUGGACAAUGGGGGCAACCCUGAUCCAGCCAUGCCGCGUGAGUGAAGAAGGCCUUCGGGUUGUAAAGCUCUUUCGGCCGGGAAGAAAUCGCACAGGCUAAUACCCUGUGUGGAUGACGGUACCGGCAUAAGAAGCACCGGCUAACUACGUGCCAGCCGCCGCUGUAA